CCAAUGGUUGCUGAGUUAAAGCUUGACAGCGUAAUUCCAUCGCCGGACAUGAUCGAAGAGG
ncrna:unclassified sequences cow-rumen-1 RNA